UUUUAUUAUUGAUAUCAGGCUUGCAACCAAGUAACCAAAAAUGAUAUGGAAAAUGAUAUUAGCAUUACUACAUAAAGAUGUUUGAGCUUCUGCAUUCUCCAUUCAGCCUGUCAAUCCUCCGUAUUCUCUCAAUUUGCAUCUGCACACCUGUCUACCUAACCUCUCCUGACCUAUAUGACCUCUCCUGACCUAUAUGACCUCUCCAGACGUAUAUAAACUCUCCUGACCUAUAUCACCUGAACUACCUGACAAACUGUCCUGAUUUAUAUAACCUGUCCUGAUUUAUAUAACCUGUCCUGACCUAUAUAACCUGUCCUGAUUUAUAUAACCUGUCCUGAUUUAUAUAACCUGUCCUGACCUAAAUAACCUGUCCUGAUUUAUAUAAACUGUCCUGAUUUAUAUAACCUGUCCUGACCUAAAUAACCUGUCCUGAUUUAUAUAACCUGUCCUGACCUAUAUAACCUGUCCUGGUUUAAAUAACCUGUCCUGACCUAAAUAACCUGUCCUGAUCUAUAUAACCUCUCCUGAUCUAUAUAACCUGUCUUGAUUUAUAUAACCUGUCCUGAUCUAUUCAUUUCAUUGGAUGCAAUAAUAGUAUAGACAUACAAAGUCUACAGUGCUGAAGAUGAUGACAUCAUCUAAAUAGAGCUAUGUGAAGAAUGUUCUGCAUUAUAUUUACAGAAAAUGCCUAUGAUAUUUGUGCAGUAAUAGUGAAAAUAUAGCAUUUAGAAACAAUGUUUUGGGUCCAUACAAAAUUACAUUUUGAUCUGAUUAGACUCUUGUUGUCAAGUUGGAAAGCGGGCAAUUCGUCUGUCACUUCCUGGUGGAUUUCUACUACAAAGUUUAGUCAAUUUCUGUUCAUGUGAGAAAACAAGCAAUAUAUAGGGCAGGGAACCAUUGUGCCAUAAAAAAUAUAGUUUUUACAGCUUUUUAAAGCAGGUGGACAGAAGUGAAUGUAAAACACUGAAGUGUCAGGUGACAACGUUAUUCCAAACGGCAACUGAUGUUGCCGCAAGUCACCAAGCUUGGACAUGGGGAAUCAUUUCUACACACAGCUCGUUUCAGACGCCAACAGUCAGCUUAGGCAGGAGUCCUGAUGUGGAUGGCUGGAGAGGCAUCGGGCAGACAUCCACUAGUCCGGAGGAGGACAGGCCCAUGACGGGGGCAGGUGGGUCACAUGGGGUAGAACUGUGAGGCCGCCUCCGAUGACUGGAUCUCCACCUGGGCCAUCUUGAACUGGGUGCACUGCAGCCACUUGCGCAGGGCGAAGGGCAGGGCACCGGCUGCCUGACCCUGUACACACUGGUGGUUCUGGUGGUUGACCCGGUUCUGGAUGGCCUGCAGACGCAGCUGGAGCCCCGCAGAAAGGUGCUGCAUGGGACAGUGGUGGGACACGGGAGACAGGUUAUGGGACAGUGGUGGGACAUGGAAGACAGGUUAUGGGACAGUGGUGGGACAUGGAAGACAGGUUAUGGGACAGUGGUGGGACACGGGAGACAGGUUAUGGGACAGUGGUGGGACAUGGAAGACAGGUUAUGGGACAGUGGUGGGACAUGGAAGACAGGUUAUGGGACAGUGGUGGGACAUGGAAGACAGGUUAUGUAACUUCAUUGUGUAGGGUUAUUCAGAAUUUGAAACAAUCAGUCUUCUUACCUUUAAAUUUGACUGAAUCAUGGGCAACCACAUGGGAAUUAGCUGAUGGAGAGAGGAGAUUAAUUAUUUCGUAACUAGCAAACACAAAUAGUCAAAUUGUUUUGCGUAAAUUCAUGGCAAAUGACAUACAUGUUUGGGGAAAUGCCCACGUACCUUCACGAAGAUGGUUGAGUUGCAUUCUUGUAGUGCCUCCAUCAGGCUGAUAACAUGAAGACAAACCAUCUCCACCAUC
ensembl:lncRNA